rnacentral:misc_RNA from 1 species
CUGAAACAUGGUGGACUUGCAAUUAUGAGUUUCUCGAACCGCUGCUUUUGGACAAAGGCUAUCUCGAUAUGGACAUCAACUGGAGAUGCGGAUCAUGUUAUGAUAGUUGGGUCUUAUUUCCAUUAUGCUGGUGGAUUUGAACCUCCACAGGCUGUGGAUAUAUCUCCUAAUACUGGACGCUCAGACCCCAUGUAUAUAGUCUAUUCCAGGAAGAUAGCGACAGCCUGAAAUUCAACGCUCGUUCAGCUAGAUAACAUUUUCCUUCCUGAAAUGUGAUCACCAUCCCGUUUUAACUUAUCAUAACUUGAUGGAGUUGUGUAUAUUUUAACUUGACGACAAGUUUUGAGGAAAGAAACAAGUCCAGCAUCACACAUCACCUAAUUCAAG